rnacentral:rRNA from 1 species
GAUGAACGCUGGCGGCGUGCCUAAUACAUGCAAGUCGAGCGAACAGACGAUUAGUUUGCUCCCCUGACGUUUACGUCGGACGGGUGAGUAGCCCGUGGAUAACCUACUUAUAAGACUGGCAUAACUUCGGGAAUCCGGAGCUGAUACCGGAUAACAUGUUGAACCGCAUGAUUCAACCGUGAAAGCCGGUUUUGCUGUCACCUAUAGAUGAAGCCGCGCCGCAUUAGCUAGUUGGUAAGGUAACGGCUUCGCAAGGCUACGAUGCGUAGCCGACCUGAGAGGGUGAACGGACACCCUGGAAGUGAGACACGGUCCAGACUCCUACGGGAGGCAGCAGUAGGGAAUCUUACGCAAUGGGGGAAUGCCUGACGGAGCAACGCCGCGUGAGUGAAGAAGGUCUUCGGAUCGGAAAACGAUGUUAUUAGGGAAGAACAAAUGUGUAAGUAACUAUGCACGUCUUGACGGUACCUAACCAGAAAGCCACGGCUAACUACGUG